rnacentral:rRNA from 1 species
UGGGGAAUAUUGCACAAUGGGCGCAAGCCUGAUGCAGCCAUGCCGCGUGUGUGAAGAAGGCCUUCGGGUUGUAAAGCACUUUCAGCGAGGAGGAAGGUGGUGAGCUUAAUACGCUCAUCAAUUGACGUUACUCGCAGAAGAAGCACCGGCUAACUCCGUGCCAGCAGCCGCGGUAAUACGGAGGGUGCAAGCGUUAAUCGGAAUUACUGGGCGUAAAGCGCACGCAGGCGGUUUGUUAAGUCAGAUGUGAAAUCCCCGGGCUCAACCUGGGAACUGCAUUUGAAACUGGCAAGCUAGAGUCUCGUAGAGGGGGGUAGAAUUCCAGGUGUAGCGGUGAAAUGCGUAGAGAUCUGGAGGAAUACCGGUGGCGAAGGCGGCCCCCUGGACGAAGACUGACGCUCAGGUGCGAAAGCGUGGGGAGCAAACAGGAUUAGAUACCCCUGGUAGUCCACGCUGUAAAACGAUGUCGAUUUUGGAGGUUGUGCCCUUGAGGCGUGGCUUCCGGAGCUAACGCGUUAAAUCGACCGCCUGGGGAGUACGGCCGCAAGGUUAAAACUCAAAUGAAUUGC